rnacentral:rRNA from 1 species
ACCUACGGGAGGCAGCAGUGGGGAAUAUUGCACAAUGGGGGAAACCCUGAUGCAGCGACGCCGCGUGAGCGAAGAAGUAUUUCGGUAUGUAAAGCUCUAUCAGCAGGGAAGAAAAAUGACGGUACCUGAGUAAGAAGCACCGGCUAAAUACGUGCCAGCAGCCGCGGUAAUACGUAUGGUGCAAGCGUUAUCCGGAUUUACUGGGUUUAAAGGGUGCGCAGGCGGAAUGUCAAGUCAGCGGUAAAAUUUCGGGGCUCAACCCCGUCGUGCCGUUGAAACUGGCGUUCUUGAGUGAGCGAGAAGUA